rnacentral:tRNA from 1 species
AAAAUCAUAGUUAAGUAUAAUAUUUGAAUUGCACUCAAAAGGUGUCUUCGGACUGAUUUUA